GUGCCAGCCGCCGCGGUAAUACCGGCAGCCCGAGUGAUGGCCGAUCUUAUUGGGCCUAAAGCGUCCGUAGCUGGCCGACCAAGUCUCCCGGGAAAUCCACCCGCCCAACGGGUGGGCGUCCGGUAGAAACUGGCCGGCUUGGAACCGGAAGGCUCAGAGAGUACGUCCGGGGUAGGAGUGAAAUCCCGUAAUCCCGGACGGACUACCGAUGGCGAAAGCACUCUGAGAAGACGGCUUCGACAGUGAGGGACGAAAGCUCGGGUCUCAAACCGGAUUAGAAACCCCAGUAGUCC
rnacentral:rRNA from 1 species